rnacentral:misc_RNA from 1 species
UAGGCUAAUAUACAAGGUGUGGUG